rnacentral:lncRNA from 1 species
UGCAAGGUUACUAGUUCGGUUUUCAUUGGAGGUUUUUUUUUGAAGAUCAAGGGAAUGAGAGAGAGGAGCUUCAUGCUUCGGGUCGGGGAAGGAAAGACAUAGAAUUUGGAUUUUUCUUCUUCGUAGAGUUUUGGGAUGACUGAGGCAAUCGCUGCUGAAGUCAGUGUUGUAAUGGUGAAUCGGGAUUUUUAAAUGAAGUGGGUUUGAAUACUCUUGACUGUUUUGUAAAAUC